UACGGAGGGUGCAAGCGUUAUCCGGAUUCACUGGGUUUAAAGGGUGCGUAGGCGGGUAGGUAAGUCAGUGGUGAAAUCUUCGAGCUUAACUCGGAAACUGCCUUUGAUACUAUCUAUCUUGAAUACCGUGGAGGUGAGCGGAAUAUGUCAUGUAGCGGUGAAAUGCUUAGAUAUGACAUAGAACACCAAUUGCGAAGGCAGCUCGCUACACGAAUAUUGACUCUGAGGCACGAAAGCGUGGGGAUCAAACAGG
rnacentral:rRNA from 1 species